GUUUUGCUCUGCGCAUUCUGUGAGAAUUAGCAUGUUAGUGAGAUAAUCCGUCCCUUAUUGCUCAGUGAGGAGACAUGACAAAUCAGUUCUGGCUUAUGCUCCUUAUGAAUCUGUCUUCGAGGCUGCAUUGGAGGAUUUAGAUAUUGCUUUCUUUGAGUAAGAUACAGCCGUAUCAGUUUGAACCACAAAAGGUUACAGCUCCCUCCAGAACCCAGUUAGACUCUUGGCAAGCAUUAGAGGGAUGUGAGGAUGACAGACGGCUAAAAGAUGCCAAUUAAUUAAUUGCCAGUGAACUGAGGAACCCACUAGUCACCCAGCUGCACUCUGGAUGUUCAUAGAAUCAUAGAACUGGAAAGGACCUCGAGAGGUCAUCUAGUCCAGUCCCCUGCACUCCAGAGACUUCAUUGCAGAUCUGGCCAAGCAGCAAGGAAAUCAUCGCAUGUUUCCUGUACAACGGGAACAUGGGAGGACCAAGGCACUUGGGUGAGGAUGGUAUUGAGCACCUCCAGCGUAAUGACGAGGGACAGGUCAAUGCAAAGGGAACAGCUGCGUGGAGGUGUGCAGAUGGUCAGUCACCUAUGGGGUUCCUACUCCUGAUGGCCAAUCUGGGCUUCUUCCCAGCCUACAAUGCAGAAUGCUUGUUACAAGCUGAUGUCCAUUGAGCCGUGUAUCCUUUUUUUUUUUUUUUUGGUAAUUCAACUGUGCUGGGAUCCUAAUGGCUACAGCAUGUCUGGGUGGCAAGGAGAGAGCUAGGAGCAGGGGCAAGGGGGAAUAGCCUUUGUGUGGCUCACAAUGAGAGGCAAUGGUAAAGGUCACGGUUAGUGAUGGUCCCUGUAUCCCAGUGUAACACCGACAGACCCCAGUCAUCUGCAGGCAGGAUCAAACCUGGGACCUCUGGAGCUAAAUGCAUGAGCCUCUCUACUGCAUGAGCUAAAAAACACAUGGCCCUUAGCUAAGGCUGUAGCAGACUCAUUAAUCUCUAAGUGGUCUCGGUGCCACUAGAGGGGACAGAACACCACACCAGGGAGGUGUGUGGGUUACACAAACACCCUGUGCUUUGUGAGCAUUUGCAGACAGAACCUGAAUCCAGAUUUUGAAAAUGGACCCUGAAUAGGCUGAGGCAAAUUCCCUGGACCCUAAAACCCUUGAAAUUUGGGGCUCAAAAUCGAGCCCCUUGCCACUAGAAUCUGCUGUGGCCCAGCAUGCUGAUUCUGCCAGCGUACAAAGGAGAUUCCCUGGGCAGCACAGGGCCCAUAGAACAGCCCUACACUGCUUCCUGACCACUUGCUGUCCCUUACGUAGAGUCACACUGGAGAUGAGGUUGGGAGGGACAUCUCAGGGAAAGAAGGAGUUGAGGCUGGAACACAUUGUGCUCUGGCUAUUGUGGGAUUCUGGAAUGGUCCAUAGGAAGCCAUUGCAACAAAAGCAAUCCCUGAGGCUGCUCUAAGUUACACUGAGGACAUCUGUGGUCCCUGGUUGGCUCCAGAAUAUGGGGGCUGCACAGCCACUUCUGUACCCUUUCCACCACAAGUCCUGCUCAGAGCCCAGACCUAAAAACAUUUUUUUUAUAACUUGAGCCUAGUUAUAGUAUGCAUCACUGGAACAUGUAAUACUAGGGGCAGUAUGGUCCAGCGAAUAGGGCAGGCGCAGAAUUCAUGUACCCAGAGUUGUACUCCUGGCUUUGAAGCUGACUUGCUUGACCUUGGGCAAAUCUAUCUCCCUGUGCCUCUGUUUAACCCAUCUGUAAAAUGGGCUUAUGAUUCGUAGAUUCAUAGACAUUUAGGUCAGAAGGGACCAUUAUAAUCAUCUAUUCUGACCCCCUGCACAACGCAAUGCAUGACCCUCACCUGCAUUCCGUUCACAACUGACUCCAUGCAACAUUGCCAACAUUGCCAACCCCAAGUGUUCAAACAGCAUUGUUGGGACCAAAAAUAUAAUGAGUAGCCUAACAAUAAUUAUGAUGCUUUUUUCCCCCAAGCUCUGUAACCAAGAGGGCUAGAAAUGUUUUUUAAUGAAAACUGAGAUUUUCCCAUAAUCACCUGACUCCAGGAGUUGGGGCUUUUAAGAAGAACACCAAGUGUUAUGACAAAAGUGCAAGCUGGCAACACAAUGUGUGAUCUUGUGCAUGUCACUUAACUCAGUGUCUCUCAGUCUUCCCAGACUACCAUACCACUUUCAGGAGUCUGUUUUGUCUUGCGUGCCCCCAAGUUUCACCUCACUUAAAAACUACUUCCUUACAAAGUCAGACAUAAAAAUACAAAAGUGUCACAGCACACUAGUACUGAAAAAUUGCUUCCUUUCUCAUUUUUAGAAUAUAAUUAUAAAAUAAAUCAAUGGGAAUAUAUUAUACUUACAUUUCAGUGUAUAGUAGAUAGAGCAAUAUAAACAAAUGACUGUAUGAAUUUUUAGUUUGUACUGAUGUUGCUAGUGCUUUUUAUGUAGCCUGUUGUAAAACUAGGCAAAUAUCUAGAUGAGUUGAUGUGCCCCUUGGAAGACCUCUGCAAGCCCUGAGGGGUACAUGAACCCCUGACUUAAUCAUUCUCUAUCUUAGCGUCUCCACCUGUAAACUGGAGAAAAUGCCAUUUGCCCACCUCUGUGUAAUGCACUUGGAGAUCUAUGCCCCAUAAAGGCUAAGUAUUUUUAUUAACUAUUAUUCUAUACAUAUUUUUGGAGAACGCACCUCACAUAUGUAUGACUUAAGUUCUUUCAGAGCUUUUUGCUUAACUUUAAAGUUAAGUACAUGCUUAAGUGCUUUCCUGAAUCUGGGUCUUAAAGAGGAAUAUUUCAGACAUGAGAUUCUAUUCUGUUUUUUUUCCUAUUCUGUACAACAGGCAAAGGUUUUAUGUUUUCUCUAUCAUCAUCUGUGUUUAAUACCAAUGUGUGUAUAUUGUUUUGCUAUAACGUUUUGUACAGUAGGCCAGUUUAGUCUGGGGAUUUUGUCGUUCGGCUUUGCCCCAAAUAGGAAAGUAAUGCACUUAUAAAAUCAAGUCUUUGUAGAUGCUUUGUAAAACUGGUUUGUGCCCUAGUGCUGAGGAGUUCCUUGAAAUCCCGUCUUUCUUCUAUUAGUGGGUAGAGGUUUUUUUAAAUAAGAAUAAUGCUUAAUUGUUUCAUCUGACGUGAAUGAGAAAUGAGAAACAGCAGCCAAAGCUGAAAUAAAGUCUCUUUUUAGGAGCUGAAAAGAAGAUAGAAGUUAAAAUAUGCAAGUAUGUUGUAGAGCAAGAAAACUGUGAGCUCUAUCAGAAUUAACUAGUGAGAGCUGUUCUUCGUCUCCACCAUACAGCAGAGGGGAUAGACUCCCAGAGCUCCUAUCGAAAGGCUAUUUUAUUUUGGCGAAGACUUGCACAAACUCGAACAAUCACUCCAAUGCAGUGUUUCUCACAGAGUAGAUUACUGCUCCCUGAGGGGGCACAAAGGACUAGCCAGGGGCACAAACAGACCUCUCAAUUGUUCUCUAGUCUCGGCUUUCAUUUAAAAAAAAAUAAAGUAAGUAUCUAGUUCUUUUGUUGAGAAGAAAAUCUUCACAGCCUGAGGCCUGGCCCACACUUGGAAGGCUAGGCUGAUAUUGCUCCACUGGUGUACUAUCCCAGCAAAGCGCUUCUAGUGUGGACGCAGCUCAUUCUGGCAAAAGCCCUCCAUAGUGGCAUACUCCAGGAUCAUACUGGGAAAAGCUUUUGCCAGCAUAGCUAUGGUGGUCACAAGUUACAUCUUGGCACACUCCUGACUCACACAGCCAUGCAAGAAAACGUUUGUAGUGUAGCCUUGACCUUAGUUUGAAGAGAGCCUGAAACAAUAGCUCUGAAGUUUGAACUUUCCCAUUCCCUUCAGCUCAGAUUCCAGUAAUAUUGCUUUAAAGGUCAGCAUUGUUCACCAUUUCACUGCUCACCAAAGUGGGUAAGAAAGGAAAGGAGGACUCACAGCUUGGAGAUCCCCACCUGGGCGGGUGGGGCAAGGAAGAUGUCUGAAUUCAGAUGUAUUUGGGCCUUUAACAACAUGUUGCAGGGUUGCAGAGCAGUGACUGGUUUUAUUUUUCUGAAGGCAGAGGGGGCUCAGCUUUCCAGCGUUUGGGAAAUGUUCUUCUAACUGAAAUCAACAUUUGCUUAAUGGGAGUUGAGUGUCUAUAAGUAAAUUGAGGGUGUGUGUGCCUCUUUAGGACUAGACUGUGUCAUAGAGGCAUGGCCCAGAGUUGGGGAGACUUGAGGGGAAGAGGAUUGAAGAGAUGCAGUCCCUCCCAAGCUCCCUGGUUUGCUGGGGAAGUGAGUGGGCUACACCACUAACCCCAUUGACUUCAGUGGGUGUUGGAUUGGGCCUUCACCCUUUUAAGAAGGGCUGUAGGCACUAAAGCCACCACUAAGGGCCUUAUUCUUGCAUAGGAGUUCAGGGGCUUGGAGAGGAGAGUGCAGGGAGCCCACCUUUCCCUUGUGUGCCCUGAGCAAAGACCAAGGAUCUUUAACGUAGCUAGAGUUUACUCAGGAUAGUUCUUAAGGCCUGAUCCUCUGCGUGGCAAGGAGAGGGCCCUUAGUGUGGGAAAGGAAAAGGAGGAAAGCCCAAUCCUGCCAGUGGGGAUUGGGCCCAAAGUGAUGGAAAAAAACAUGCAGCUCUCAGGGGAGAAAAGCUAACUUUUAUUUUGCCCUUACGAGGGCUGACCCAAGCAACCUGGCUGUUUAUACGUCUGCUGGGUUAAAUGAGCAUGAUGAUCACUUUACUAAAGUGGAGAUAUUCCUGUGCUGCCUCUUAAAGAAAGCAAUUACUGCAUCUAUGGUCAGUAUAUUAGCUGACACCAUUUAAUUAAAGCCUAAUUUACCUGUGAAUGAAACU